rnacentral:tmRNA from 1 species
GGGGGUGAAAGGGCUCGACUUAAAUAUGUCGGGUACAAAACGCAUGCCGCGGACGCAUGGUUGGCCGCGUUAACAAUCCGUGCAAAAAUAAACGCAAACACACCAGUGUUGAUGCCAUUGAUGCCAACAUCAAUGACACCUGCGUUUGCCUUCGCUAACUAAUUUAGCGAAGCCUCAACCCAGUCUGCCUAAGGGCUGGUGUUUGAGCCGGUUAUUUAGGCUGGCGCCAGUUCUUUAAGCUUUCAGAACUGGCGUAAGACAAAAGGAAGCUUGCGGCCUUAACCAUCCUGUCAGCCGGAGGGUUAAGGCUUAAGAACAAAUAGACUGACUAAGCAUGUAGGGGUUUGUAUCUGUCUAUUUAAGGACGGCGGUUCAAUUCCGCCCACCUCCACCA